rnacentral:rRNA from 1 species
UACAGAGGUCUCAAGCGUUGUUCGGAUUCAUUGGGCGUAAAGGGUGCGUAGGCGGCGCGGUAAGUCGGGUGUGAAAUCUCGGGGCUUAACUCCGAAACUGCAUUCGAUACUGCCGUGCUUGAGGACUGGAGAGGAGACUGGAAUUACGGUGUAGCGGUGAAAUGCGUAGAUAUCGUAAGGAAGACCAGUGGCGAAGGCGGGUCUCGUGGACAGUUCCUG